AGUUUGAUCCUGGCUCAGAUUGAACGCUGGCGGCAUGCUUUACACAUGCAAGUCGAACGGGGUUAAGGGGCUUGCUCCUUAAUCUAGUGGCGAACGGGUGAGUAAUGCAUCGGAACGUACCCGGGAGUGGGGGAUAACGCACCGAAAGGUGUGCUAAUACCGCAUAUUCUGUGAGCAGGAAAGCAGGGGACCUUAGGGCCUUGUGCUUCCGGAGCGGCCGAUGUCGGAUUAGCUAGUUGGUGAGGUAAAGGCUCACCAAGGCGACGAUCCGUAGCGGGUCUGAGAGGAUGAUCCGCCACACUGGGACUGAGACACGGCCCAGACUCCUACGGGAGGCAGCAGUGGGGAAUUUUGGACAAUGGGCGCAAGCCUGAUCCAGCCAUGCCGCGUGUCUGAAGAAUGCCUUCGGGUUGUAAAGGACUUUUGUCAGGAAGGAAAACCUAUUGGCUAAUUAUCCAGUGGGGAUGACAGUUA
rnacentral:rRNA from 1 species